rnacentral:rRNA from 1 species
GUCCACACCGUAAACGUUGGGCGCUAGGUGUGGGAUCCAUUCCACGGGUUCCGUGCCGCAGCUAACGCAUUAAGCGCCCCGCCUGGGGAGUACGGCCGCAAGGCUAAAACUCAAAGGAAUUGACGGGGGCCCGCACAAGCGGCGGAGCAUGCGGAUUAAUUCGAUGCAACGCGAAGAACCUUACCUGGGUUUGACAUAUGCCGGAAAGCGCCAGAGAUGGUGCCCCUUUUUGUCGGUAUACAGGUGGUGCAUGGCUGUCGU